AUAGGGGCUCUUAAAAAUUUUACACAAAUCCUUUUGGAGUUUGCCAAUUCCAUUUUUAACUCUUGUAAAAGUUCCUUAUUUUACUCGAACACCAUCUACAUAAGAUUCGACUGCACGAUAUUAGCACAAACUAAAUAAACUUUUAUUGCAACAUAUAAGAUAACUUUAAAGUGAUUCUUACAUUCAAGAAUAUUAGCCUUUUUGUGACUUUUAAUAACAAGAGUGGAAUAAGAUUACACAGAAAGAGAGGAGCAAUAUAUAUAAACAUGAUCAAAAAUUUUCUUUGUAUGUAAACUCAAGAGGCAAAAAUGAGAAGCAAACAAAGGCUGCUACUACUUGUGCUCAUGCCACUCCUUUUCCUUUGCAUUCAUCAACUAUAUGCAACUUCUCUAGGAGGAAGAAGGGUGGCCCACGCCGAAAGUGUCGGCGGCGGCAGUCCGGUGGUUUCGGGAGGAGAUGGCGGCUCACACGUCCCUAGUGGUGGUGGUGUGACUCCGGUGUAUGCAGCAGCGGGUGCAGGAAACAACCACCACCCUCACCGCGGAGGAGGAAACCGUGACAGAGGCAGGGCGGCGCCAGAGGCCUUGGCCGUGAUUACAUUUGCAUGCUUUCUAUUUUGUACUAGUAUUAAUUAAACAGUGUUUUUGAAAUUGUAACAAACAAAAAUGGUGUGUGUGUGUGUGUGUGUUUAUUGUACCGUGUAUCAAUUUGUGUAUAAUAUACCGUAAUGUAUAAUACUCCUGUGUUUCUUCGUUCUGCCAA